CUAUCAAAGGAUAAUAGU
rnacentral:tRNA from 1 species